UGGUAGCGUUCGCAGGCUCGGACUCUCGGAGUAGGUCAUGGUUAGGAGGAAAGUGGUCGCUCGGCGCCGGUGCGCCCGCCAUGUCGAGAAAUCACCAAUUUGACUUGCUACUUCCAAAAAUCUACCAGAAAAACAAAAAUAACUAAGUAGUGAAAAAGAAGAGUUGACUCAACUUCAGUCAUUUUAAUAGUGAGCAGACAAAGUCAUAAUAUUUUUAUGAUCGUCUGAUAUUUGCGAGUCCUCGCGCUUGAAAAUAUUGAUUUAUAAAAAUGUCAGAAAGAGCAAUAAAAUAACCGAAAAUGACUUCAA